rnacentral:lncRNA from 1 species
UUCAGAUCAGGAAGACAUUGUUCCCGAGCCCGUUCCGCAGGAAGACGACGAAGGGGACGCCUAAAGACUCCAUAAUCAUAUUCAUAGAUUUUACUUUCUAGUUUCUCUUUUAGUUAGUUUGAUUUUUUAUAUUUUGAGCACGUUUUUUGUUUUAGUGUAAGGGAUGUUAAUCGAAAUUUUGACUUCGCUUCCGCAUUUGACAUUUUUAAUACACAUAUUUCAUUUUAAAUUUCC